rnacentral:rRNA from 1 species
CCUACGGGUGGCAGCAGUGGGGAAUAUUGCACAAUGGGCGCAAGCCUGAUGCAGCCAUGCCGCGUGUGUGAAGAAGGCCUUCGGGUUGUAAAGCACUUUCAGCGGGGAGGAAGGCGUUAAGGUUAAUAACCUUGGCGAUUGACGUUACCCGCAGAAGAAGCACCGGCUAACUCCGUGCCAGCAGCCGCGGUAAUACGGAGGGUGCAAGCGUUAAUCGGAAUUACUGGGCGUAAAGCGCACGCAGGCGGUCUGUCAAGUCGGAUGUGAAAUCCCCGGGCUCAACCUGGGAACUGCACUCGAAACUGGCAGGCUAGAGUCUUGUAGAGGGGGGUAGAAUUCCAGGUGUAGCGGUGAAAUGCGUAGAGAUCUGGAGGAAUACCGGUGGCGAAGGCGGCCCCCUGGACAAAGACUGACGCUCAGGUGCGAAAGCGUGGGGAGCAAACAGGAUUAGAUACCCGUGUAGUC